rnacentral:pre_miRNA from 1 species
UCUUAUGGUUGAACAAAGUAAGUGGUGUCUUGAGAUGGAAUAUACUCAUGGUGAAGAUGCUGUGAA